rnacentral:tRNA from 1 species
GCAUUGAUGUUUCAGUGGUAGAAUUCCUACCUUCCAUACAGGAGACCCCGGGUUCAAUUCCCGGGCAGUGCU